GAUGGAAUGGGAAGUGAGCAUGUGGAGCGGGGAAGCCACACUCACUCCGACUCUUGCCUGUAUGCAGCUCUUGGGAACAAGUCCUACUUGCACAACAAAUCCAAGAAGGUAUCUGGUUGCUCCUCCCUAGGACACUGGUGAAGAUAAAGGCACGAAAAGCAGCCGGUUAUGUACGUGUUCUGGGAAAUCCUGACACUUGGAGAUAAACUAGGUGCCAGUUCCUUCAAAUAUUGGUUCCUGAUCAUCAAAACUAAAGUCUGAAACUCUCAGCUAGGUUAUGACUAAUGACUUUCUCUUUGGCUUUCUCUAAUCAGGGCCCUGUUGGUAGGGGAAGGGGAAAAAUAAGAAAAGAAGGGAUUUUACAGUCAUAUAUUUUAAUUUCAGACACUAUCCUCAAUGUUCUUGCAUAUAUUCUACUGCCAUUUUUCUUUUUUUUUUUUUUUUUUUUUUUUUUUGGUGUGUAUUAUCAUUACAAUGGUCUCCACAAAGAUAAGUUAAAGAACAUCCUAAUCGCUUUGAAAUAUCGGGGUCUGAAGGAAUGCCUUUGGGGGUCGGUCUCACCAAAGAUCAAACUUCAGUUCCGUUCCAGCACUUUCCCUAAUUACCAUGUCAUCCUUGGUCCUUCCUGAAGCCUGACGCUCACCGUGGUAUUGGCAGGGAGCCGAAGGUCAAGGAGGAAGCAGAAAUUUCUGUUACGUUACUUAAUAAUAUCUUUCCUUCAUGAUAAUUUAAAGUGAUUUUUACCUUGAAUAACGAAUUGGGUGUGAAUAUUAAAAUGCCCACAAAAUCAAAGCAGCCUCCCAGUCACAAACACAUCCGCUGUGCUCCCUGUAACUCAACACUUAACGUUACAUAGAAAUGAUAAAAUAACUGUGACUCCUAUUUCUCAUUCUCCACCAAAACUUUUUCCCACUGAUGUCUAAUGUGAUGAUAUUUUUAUGUAACAUAUUAGCAUCUUAAACUGUUUCUCUAGCUGCCAUGGAAUGAGCAUUAAUAUUCAUACUACAGAAUGAGCAUAUUAUAAUAUGGAUUUAAAACUUGUGAUCAACUUUAUAAUUAAUUGGUGGUGCUCUUUUCCCCUAGGAAUUGAGCUAAUGCAGCCGGUUUAAUUAAUCACAAUAAGUACUAGCUUGUGUAGGGUGAACUGGAUGCAUCCCGGAUACUAUCCCAUUACACUCUGACCACGACGUUGUAGGGCAGGGGCCCCUGCUGUUCUUGGCGAGAACUGGAAACUCAGCCAGCUGGACCUACUUGCUCCCAAUUCCUCGGCCAAUGAGUUGUGGAAACGAGAUUAGAACCCAGGUCCAUCAUUCCUGUGCUUUUUCUACAACCCACUGGCCUCCCCAAUUAAAUCUGUACCUCUGAGUUGGGCAGGGAAGUGGUUUCUCUUAUUGUUAAGUUUGAUCUGUUUUGUGCAUUCCACGUGGCCCCCACCCCCACCCAAGUGCCCCCCUCACCUUAUUAAGGAGCACCCGAAGGCCCCUCUGAUGUAAAGUGAGCUCUUCGCUGCCAUCCCCUCUAACAUGGGAGCGUUCCAGCCAGUGUUUGCAUGUGGCUGCACUGCUGAAGAGAU
rnacentral:lncRNA from 1 species